AUACUUACCUAGCAAAGGAGUCACCAUGAUUACAAAAGAGGCUUUCCCAGGGCGAGGCUCAUGCAUUACACUCUAGAUGUACUGAGCCCUGUGAUUUUUCCCAUAUGUGGGAAACUUGAUGCAUAAUUUGUGGUAGUGGGGAGACAA
ensembl:snRNA U1 U1 spliceosomal RNA